rnacentral:tRNA from 1 species
GCGGGUAUAGCUCAGUGGUAAAGUGCAUGCCUAGCAUGCACAAGGUCCUGGGUUCAAUCCUCAGUACCUCCA